rnacentral:rRNA from 1 species
AUGAACGCUGGCGGCGUGCCUAAUACAUGCAAGUCGAGCGAACGGACGAGAAGCUUGCUUCUCUGAUGUUAGCGGCGGACGGGUGAGUAACACGUGGAUAACCUACCUAUAAGACUGGGAUAACUUCGGGAAACCGGAGCUAAUACCGGAUAAUAUUUUGAACCGCAUGGUUCAAAAGUGAAAGACGGUCUUGCUGUCACUUAUAGAUGGAUCCGCGCUGCAUUAGCUAGUUGGUAAGGUAACGGCUUACCAAGGCAACGAUGCAUAGCCGACCUGAGAGGGUGAUCGGCCACACUGGAACUGAGACACGGUCCAGACUCCUACGGAAGGCAGCAGUAGGGAAUCUGCCGCAAUGGGCGAAAGCCUGACGGAGCAACGCCGCGUGAGUGAUGAAGGUCUUCGGAUCGUAAAACUCUGUUAUUGGGGAAGAACAUAUGUGUAAGUAACUGUGCACAUCUUGACGGUACCUAAUCAGAAAGCCACGGCUAACUACGUG